rnacentral:rRNA from 1 species
GUGAACGCUGGCGGUAGGCCUAACCCAUGCAAGUCGAACGGCAGCACAGUAAGAGCUUGCUCUUACGGGUGGCGAGUGGCGGACGGGUGAGGAAUACAUCGGAAUCUACUUUUUCGUGGGGGAUAACGUAGGGAAACUUACGCUAAUACCGCAUACGACCUACGGGUGAAAGCAGGGGAUCUUCGGACCUUGCGCGAUUGAAUUAGCCGAUGUCGGAUUAGCUAGUUGGCGGGGUAAAGGCCCACCAAGGCGACGAUCCGUAGCUGGUCUGAGAGGAUGAUCAGCCACACUGGAACUGAGACACGGUCCAGACUCCUACGGGAGGCAGCAGUGGGGAAUAUUGGACAAUGGGCGCAAGCCUGAUCCAGCCAUACCGCGUGGGUGAAGAAGGCCUUCGGGUUGUAAAGCCCUUUUGUUGGGAAAGAAAAGCAGCAGGUUAAUACCCCGCUGUUCUGACGGUACCCAAAGAAUAAGCACCGGCUAACUUCGUG